rnacentral:rRNA from 1 species
AGACAAACUCCGAAUGCCAAUUAAUUUAACUUGGGAGUCAGAACAUGGGUGAUAAGGUCCGUGUUCGAAAGGGAAACAGCCCAGACCACCAGCUAAGGUCCCAAAAUAUAUGUUAAGUGGAAAAGGAUGUGGCGUUGCCCAGACAACUAGGAUGUUGGCUUAGAAGCAGCCAUCAUUUAAAGAGUGCGUAAUAGCUCACUAGUCGAGUGACACUGCGCCGAAAAUGUACCGGGGCUAAACAUAUUACCGAAGCUGUGGAUUGUCCUUUGGACAAUGGUAGGAGAGCGUUCUAAGGGCGUUGAAGCAUGAUCGUAAGGACAUGUGGAGCGCUUAGAAGUGAGAAUGCCGGUGUGAGUA